rnacentral:rRNA from 1 species
UACAGAGGGGGCAAGCGUUAUUCGGAAUUAUUGGGCGUAAAGGGCGCGUAGGCGGCUUGGCAAGUGGAUGGUGAAAUCCCUCGGCUUAACCGAGGAACUGCCGUCCAAACUGCUUCGCUUGAGACCGGGAGAGGUGAGUGGAAUUCCCAGUGUAGCGGUGAAAUGCGUAGAUAUUGGGAGGAACACCAGUGGCGAAGGCGGCUCACUGGACCGGUUCUGACGCUGAUGCGCGAAAGCGUGGGGAGCAAACGGG